CCAACUCCUCCCAUGCC
rnacentral:miRNA from 1 species